rnacentral:rRNA from 1 species
UACAGAGACUGCAAGCGUUAUUCGGAUUCACUUGGCGUAAAGGGUGCGCAGGCGGCCAAGUGUGUGAGGUGUGAAAGCCCGGGGCUUAACCCCGGAAUUGCACCUCAAACUACUUGGCUAGAGCAUUGGAGAGGGUAGCAGAAUUCACGGUGUAGCAGUGAAAUGCGUAGAUAUCGUGAGGAAUACCAGAGGCGAAGGCGGCUACCUGGACAAUUGCUGACGCUCAGGCACGAAAGCGUGGGGAGCAAAAGGG